AUCCAGCUGACAAGUCUGAAACAGGACAAAAUGCGCAUCCUGUAU
rfam:Schistosoma rodhaini strain Burundi genome assembly, scaffold: SROB_scaffold0007773